GACGAACGCUGGCGGCGUGCUUAACACAUGCAAGUCGAACGGAAAGGCCCUGCUUUUGUGGGGUGCUCGAGUGGCGAACGGGUGAGUAACACGUGAGUAACCUGCCCUUGACUUUGGGAUAACUUCAGGAAACUGGGGCUAAUACCGGAUAGGAGCUCCUGCUGCAUGGUGGGGGUUGGAAAGUUUCGGCGGUUGGGGAUGGACUCGCGGCUUAUCAGCUUGUUGGUGGGGUAGUGGCUUACCAAGGCUUUGACGGGUAGCCGGCCUGAGAGGGUGACCGGCCACAUUGGGACUGAGAUACGGCCCAGACUCCUACGGGAGGCAGCAGUGGGGAAUAUUGCACAAUGGGCGGAAGCCUGAUGCAGCAACGCCGCGUGCGGGAUGACGGCCUUCGGGUUGUAAACCGCUUUCGCCUGUGACGAAGCGUGAGUGACGGUAAUGGGUAAAGAAGCACCGGCUAACUACGUGCCAGCAGCCGCGGUGAUACGUAGGGUGCGAGCGUUGUCCGGAUUUAUUGGGCGUAAAGGGCUCGUAGGUGGUUGAUCGCGUCGGAAGUGUAAUCUUGGGGCUUAACCCUGAGCGUGCUUUCGAUACGGGUUGACUUGAGGAAGGUAGGGGAGAAUGGAAUUCCUGGUGGAGCGGUGGAAUGCGCAGAUAUCAGGAGGAACACCAGUGGCGAAGGCGGUUCUCUGGGCCUUUCCUGACGCUGAGGAGCGAAAGCGUGGGGAGCGAACAGGCUUAGAUACCCUGGUAGUCCACGCUGUAAACGGUGGGUACUAGGUGUGGGGUCCAUUCCACGGGUUCCGUGCCGUAGCUAACGCUUUAAGUACCCCGCCUGGGGAGUACGGCCGCAAGGCUAAAACUCAAAGGAAUUGACGGGGCCCCGCACAAGCGGCGGAGCAUGCGGAUUAAUUCGAUGCAACGCGUAGAACCUUACCUGGGUUUGACAUGGAUCGGGAGCGCUCAGAGAUGGGUGUGCCUCUUUUGGGGUCGGUUCACAGGUGGUGCAUGGCUGUCGUCAGCUCGUGUCGUGAGAUGUUGGGUUAAGUCCCGCAACGAACGCAACCCUUGUUCACUGUUGCCAGCACGUUAUGGUGGGGACUCAGUGGAGACCGCCGGGGUCAACUCGGAGGAAGGUGGGGAUGACGUCAAGUCAUCAUGCCCCUUAUGUCCAGGGCUUCACGCAUGCUACAAUGGCUGGUACAGAGAGUGGCGAGCCUGUGAGGGUGAGCGAAUCUCGGAAAGCCGGUCUCAGUUCGGAUUGGGAUCUGCAACUCGACCUCAUGAAGUCGGAGUCGCUAGUAAUCGCAGAUCAGCAACGCUGCGGUGAAUACGUUCCCGGGGCU
rnacentral:rRNA from 1 species